GAAAUGCGAUAAGUAAUGUGAAUUGCAGAAUUCAGUGAAUCAUCGAAUCUUUGAACGCACAUUGCGCCCAUUAGUAUUCUAUUGGGCAUGCCUGUUCGAGCGUCAUUUCAACCCUUAAGCCUAGCUUAGUGUUGGGAAUCUACUCUGAGUGGUGGCCAUCUCGGUGGUUACCCUGUAGUUCCUCAAAUCCAGCGGCAGAGCUGUGGUAUCCUCUGAGCGUAGUAAUUUACAUCUCGCUUUUUGUAGGUGCCGCGGUUGUAGCCGUAAAACCCCCUAUUUUUAAUGGUUGACCUCGGAUCAGGUAGGAAUACCCGCUGAACUUAA
rnacentral:misc_RNA from 1 species